AAAAGGCUUUUAAAAAAUUAGCAAAUUGGAUAGAAGAGUGGCUGGAUGGAAUAAUGCAGAGGGUUGUUAUAGCUGGAGUUCAGUCAAACCGGAUUAAUUUUACACGUGGGGUACCCCAGGGCUCAGUCUUAGGA